AAACCAAGAAGAUUAAGUCAUAUAUUUUUGGUUAAAAGAUAGUUAAGUAGGCUAUAAAGCCUAUUUAAUUAUUAUUUGGAAGUAAAAUUCGUAAAUAAUAUAGAAAUUUAGUUAUGGCUAAUAGACUGAAGCUAUGAUAUCCCUGAGGGAAACUGGGAUUAGAUACCCCACUAUUCUUGGAGGUAAAGAAGUGAAGGCUUACCAGAGUACUACGGAUUGAUUUUAUUUAAAACUCAAAGAGCUUGGCGGUGUUUUAGACUCUUCAGGGGAACCUGUCUCAUAAUCGACAAUCCACGACAUACCUGACCUUUAUUUGUUAUCAGUUUGUAUACCGUCGUCGUCAGGUAACUUUUUAGAAAAAAGAAGUUAGCAAUAGAGAUGCUAAUAAUCUCUUACGUCAGAUCAAGGUGCAGCUAACAUAAAGGAGAGGAUGGGUUACAAUUAUUAAAGUUAUAAUUACGGAAUAGCAAUUUGAAACAUUGUUAGGAAGGAGGACUUGAAAGUAAAACAAACUACACAAAACUUUUGAAUUGAGCUCUGAAACGUGC
rnacentral:rRNA from 1 species